UUAGCGGCGGACGGGUGAGGAACGCGUGGGCAACCUGCCCUGUAGACUGGGAUAACUUCGGGAAACCGAAGCUAAUACCGGAUAAUCUUUGGAGCCUCAUGGUUCUAAAGUAAAAGUUGGGUUUACCUAACACUACAGGAUGGGCCCGCGUCGCAUUAGCUAGUUGGUAAGGUAACGGCUUACCAARGCGACGAUGCGUAGCCGACCUGAGAGGGUGAUCGGCCACACUGGGACUGAGACACGGCCCAGACUCCUACGGGAGGCAGCAGUAGGGAAUCUUCCGCAAUGGACGAAAGUCUGACGGAGCAACGCCGCGUGAGCGAUGAAGGCCUUCGGGUCGUAAAGCUCUGUUGUUAGGGAAGAACAAGUACCAUUCAAAUAGGGUGGUACCUUGACGGUACCUAACGAGAAAGCCACGGCUAACUACGUGCCAGCAGCCGCGGUAAUACGUAGGUGGCAAGCGUUGUCCGGAAUUAUUGGGCGUAAAGCGCGCGCAGGCGGUAUCUUAAGUCUGAUGUGAAAGCCCACGGCUCAACCGUGGAGGGUCAUUGGAAACUGGGAUACUUGAGUACAGAAGAGGAGAGUGGAAUUCCAUGUGUAGCGGUGAAAUGCGUAGAUAUAUGGAGGAACACCAGUGGCGAAGGCGACUCUCUGGUCUGUAACUGACGCUGAGGCGCGAAAGCGUGGGGAGCAAAC
rnacentral:rRNA from 1 species